rnacentral:rRNA from 1 species
GAACGAUGCUUUCGGGCAUAGUGGCGCACGGGUGCGUAACGCGUGGGAAUCUGCCCCUUGGUUCGGAAUAACUCAGAGAAAUUUGAGCUAAUACCGGAUGACGACGUAAGUCCAAAGAUUUAUCGCCGAGGGAUGAGCCCGCGUAGGAUUAGCUAGUUGGUGGGGUAAAGGCCUACCAAGGCGACGAUCCUUAGCUGGUCUGAGAGGAUGAUCAGCCACACUGGGACUGAGACACGGCCCAG